CUCGCACCACAAUUUGUGUGAAAUUAAUAUCUUAUAUUACGAGAGCUACGGACGAUUACAAGUUACCCUCCUCCACAGUCAUGCAUUUACUCAACUCGUUCGCCGAGUGAUCGGGGCUAAGCAGUAGUACAGUGCACUAGAAAAUACGUCUAGUUCACUGUAUCAGUAGUCUAGGUGGCUCUGCGUCCGGUUCUAUAGGAGCGAGCGCGCGGAGCCUCUCCAAAGUCUCCGCCAGCUGCUUGGCAGUCGACUCCAAGCGAGUGCUAUCGAAGCAGCGUGCGUUGCGAGCAUUCUGUCGCAGUGCCGAAGUGUCUGGUAUUCCGGUAACCACAGGCGAGCUGGUCGUUUCGACGGAACGUUGGAGGCAUAAACUCAUGCUGAUGAAGGAACUUUAGCGAAAACGGACGUAAGCUGCCUGAUCGGUCUCCACGGUGCAGCCAUCCGUUGGCGCAGGGUUUAACCAGCCAAACAAAGCGCUAAUAUUGGUCUAACCAAGUGUGAAACAUUUUAAACAUUUACAAAAACAACGUGUUAACGAUUACACUCCUGCAAAAAAAUUGCACCAGUAGCAACGAUCAGGCCCUGUCCCCUUGCGCUUGCCCUCUUCCGGUGUAAGUGACGGCCGCAAACGCGCAAAUCCUGGCGCCGAUCAGAUAGCGGCAGUCCGAUGCGCUGCAGCCAGUCCGCUUGUCUGCUGCCUGGCAGAGCUUGACAUAUUGCCAGUCGCUACGUUUCCAGUCCACAACGCAACAAAGUCGAAUCAUAGUGCUCGCGAAAAGACUGAGACUGACUCUGACCGCGGAGCCAUAGAAUAGCAGAGCUCUCGUCAAAAUUGAGCACGUCGUAACAAGCAGAAGUGCUUAAGAAGUGCUGUGUGCCGGAAGUGCUUAAGUGUAGCGAGAAAUUGUUCUUGUGCACUCCCUUCCUGUUACUUUCUUUUUAUAGAAACAAAUUACCUAACAUUCCCACUCCUACAAACAUCAUUUGUUCACCAUAAAGGUGGACAAAUUAUCGACGACACGCCCUGGGCAGCCGAUCGGAUACAUGCUCGACAUAGCUCGCCGAUCGGCAGCGAUGUACAUUUUUAAAACCUUGUAUUAAAUUACACGCUUUAUGCGGAGCACUUAGAUGCGUCAAUUAAUGAUCAGAAGGACCUACUCUAACGUACGACUCACUACGCUUGUACAAAAUCGUCAUAGCCGUUUCAGGGUCCCUUUAAAAUAUAACUGGCUGCGGGGAAAACACAAUUAUAUAAUGGCUUUCCUUACAGAGAGCAAGGCACCACUUGCUAUCUCAGAAGUCUGAACCUUUCCAAAUGCCAAACAAGGGCACGCCUCAGGGAGCAAUUGUCUCUCCUUUAAUUGCUGUUUAACAUCGCCAUGCGUAGACUCGCGUAGACUCGCGCGGGCCUUGGACCGUGUCCCGCAGCUGGGUUAUAUCCUCUAAGCGGAUGGCAUCACUCUAUGGGCCACGUGCGGGGCUCUGGCUAGCAAGGAGCAGACCCUACAGGAGGCGACCCUGGCAGUAGAAAACUUUGCUAGAGCCAGUGGUCUCAGCUGCGCCCCCAACAAGUCAGAGGUGAUCCGCACACAUGAAAAACGUCACAAAAGUAACGGAGAAAUGGGUAUCUAACUCGAAAAUCAGAAAAUUAAAGAGGUCACCGGUGCUCAGAUCCUGGGCUUCUGGGUUCAGCGCAACGACAGGGCAAAUUACACUAUUGGUCUCCUAAAAUCGGCAACCAAACAGGUGGCUAUGAUGAUUCAGACGAUCACCUUCCACAAAAAGAGUAUGAAGGAAGGUGACGUACACUGCGUUUAGUGCAGGCGCUCGUAAUAAGUAAGUUGGCAUGCAGCUUUAAAGCAGUAAAGCGGCAAGUUAGGCUAGUUGGUGGAAGUCCAUCUUGUAUAAGGGGGUACUGCGCUAUAAACACACAGGCAACAGAAAUAGAAGUGGACAGGACGCGAAUGGCCUGUCAACUACUUUUGUGUUCUGUCCACUUCUGACCACAACGACCCCCGUGACUCAGAUGAGAGUCACAUCCCUGUACAAAUGAAGUGAAUACAAUCUUUCCCUUUUUUUCAUCAUUACGAUGCUCGGCUUUGUCGUCGUUUCCUGAUUCCUGCAGUGAAGACCCGCCUCACCCGGUCGAGAUUGUACCAACUGGUUGGCAGCAACGAGAUACUCCACCACUUCGUCCUGGCUUCAGCAGAAUAAUUAUGUUGAAGAAACAAAGCAAGGUCUCAACCACUUUGGGGGACAGAAAAGCUACUAUACUGGCCUUGCAUAGAAAGCGCACCUGCUGCAAUCUUUCCUCUUAGGAGGGACUUCGUCGGUGGAAAUGCA